CCUUAACUUGUCAAAAAUACAAGGCCAUAACUAAAGGGUUUAUACUUCAUGGAAAUUUUCCUCACUUAGGUCAAGAUGGCAUUUUAAAGUCUGAACAUCUUUAUCUACUUAGGGUUAUCACAGUAUAUUAUGUACUGAAAGAGUCAUAGCAUAGCCUUGAAGCUUGUUUAUGCAUUAUUGUUAUUGUAUGUCGCAAGGUAAGUAAGAGGUUAUUGCUUAAAGACACAGUUAUGAAAAACAAUAUGUUCCAUUUCUAACACCUUGUCAGUACACAGUUUAAGAAAUACAAUAUUUGCAUUUGCCCAUAACACUCUAAUUUAGAAUGGUAUAAAAAAGAGGAUAGAUAGCAGAAGAUCACAGCUCUUGAAAAAGUCUGCCAAUAGAGACGAAAUGUGAUGUGUCGAGUGAGUGAGACAAGUACACAGGUACACAGGCUACUCCAGUUAUCCCAAGAAGAACCCUUGGUAGGAUUUGCUUCCCACGGUCAAAGUGGUAUCUGACUAACAUAGAAGUUGAGAAAAUCAGACUCUGAAGAAAGGGACUAUAAAAAGAUAAGUGGCCCUUAUUGGACAAGUGCUUUUACCCAAAGCAAAUUAGACUAACAACCCACAAAAUACAAUUUAGUACAAUAUCUAAAUAUUGUAGGGUGCCCUUCUGCUGUUCUGAAUUUGUACAAUAGGAGGCAUUUUUAUUAAUCUCUGGGUUAUUAUUAAUGGUUUUGGAUAUGACUCUAUGGCAGACAAUUGUCUCCUGAGACCUGACUGCUAAAAAG